GCAGUGCAACCCUGGCUAUUUUCUGGGCAAGGCUGGUGCUCUGGUGCUGGACUUCAUUUGCCUGAAGGAAGCAGUGCAUUUUUCUAACUUGUGUGAAGACAUUGUAUGGACUAGCUGUGGCCCUGGAGCCAUGUAUGUGGAUGGGGUCGGCCUCACUGAACCACUGAGACUGUGAGUGGGAGAGGGAUAGUCCUCUGAAUGAAAAUUAGGUUCACCUUCUAUAAGGGAGAAUGGAUGCGCAAGCAGAACUAUUGGAUAUACAUUACAGAAAGUAAUGCCAUUACUGUAAUUCUGAAUCUUGCCUUGUAGAGCAACUCGACUCUUUAAGUCUACUCAACUCAGCUCAACGCAAUCCAACAAUUAUUUUUUAUAGGCCAAAGUGUGUGUGUGUGUGUGUUUGCACACACACCUGUGUGCUGGGUAGGGAGGUGUUACCAAAAGAAAAGACCUACCUUCAAAAAGCAUAAAGUAUUCUGAUUUUAAGCCACGCCAACUAUGAAAGUUUUUCUUAAAUUCGACUCUGUUAUACCAAAUAAAUUAAAAAUUAUGCAAAAUUAAAGAUGGUAGCAUGUUUCUUUAGUUGCUUUUUAGCAAAAUAAUCUGUGUAUUUCAGUGAA
rnacentral:lncRNA from 1 species